rnacentral:rRNA from 1 species
AGAGUUUGAUCAUGGCUCAGGACGAACGCUAGCGGCGUGUUUGAAACAUGCAAGUCGAACGAUGUGGUCCGCAAGGGCUGCAGAGUGGCGAACGGGUGCGUAACACGUAAAGAACCUACCCUUUAGCGGGGGAUAGCCCUGGGAAACCGGGGGUAAUACCGCAUGAGCCUCUUUUAUCGCAUGAGAGAAGAGGGAAAGGCUGAUAAGCCAAAAGCUUAACAGUCACUGAAGGAAGGCUUUGCGGCCUAUCAGGUAGUUGGUGGGGUGAUGGCCUACCAAGCCAAAGACGGGUAGCUGGUCUGAGAGGAUGAUCAGCCACACUGGGACUGAGAUACGGCCCAGACUCCUACGGGGGGCAGCAGUUUAGAAUAUUGUGCAAUGGGCGAAAGCCUGACACAGCGACGCCGCGUGGGUGACGAAGGCCUUCGGGUCGUAAAGCCCUGUUGGUAGGGAGGAGCAAGGACAGUACCUACCAAGAAAGCCCCGGCUAACUACGUGCCAGCAGCCGCGGUAAUAC